CGAGGGAUUUUCGGCAAUGGGCGCAAGCCUGACCGAGCAACGCCGCGUGCGGGACGAGGCCCUUCGGGGUGUAAACCGCUUUUGGGCGGGACGAUGGUGACGGUACCGCCCGAAUCAGCCUCGGCUAACUACGUGCCAGCAGCCGCGGUAAGACGUAGGAGGCGAGCGUUGUCCGGAGUCACUGGGCGUAAAGCGCGCGCGGGCGGUCCGGUGCGCCGGGGGUGAAAGGCGGCGGCUCAACCGCCGGACGGCCCCCGGGACGGCCGGGCUGGAGGGUGGCAGGGGCCGGUGGAAUUCCCGGUGUAGUGGUGAAAUGCGUAGAGACCGGGAGGAACACCCGCGGCGAAGGCGGCCGGCUGGGCCACACCUGACGCUGAGGCGCGAAGGCCAGGGGAGCGAACGGG
rnacentral:rRNA from 1 species